GUCAUUAAUAUUUUAUCUUUUUACACUGUUUUGCUGCAUGAAAGGUUUACAUUUUUAUGUGUUAAGUUUAUCUGCAUAUUUAUUUAUGGCUUUGGAUUUUAUCAUGUGCUGUGGUAUGGCUCUUUAUUGUCCCCCCAAAAAAGCUCAUGUUUUGAAAGCAUGGUCACCAGUAUAUCCAAGGAUUUUAAGCUAUGAUUAGGGCUCUGAUCUUGUUAGUGGAUUAAUCUAUAUGUUGGAUUAAUCAGUUGAUAGUUCAACCGACUACUGAAGGAUGGGUCAUUGUUCACUGGGGCAUGCCCUGAAAGGGUUUAUCUAGUCUCUUGCCUUUUCCCCUCACCCUCUCCUCUCCUUUCCCCUCCCCUCCCUUCUUCCCCCCCCUCCUAUUCUUCCUCCUCUUCUCCUUCCUUCCUUCCUUCCUUCCUCUCCCCCACAUUCUCCCUCUCUCUCGCUCUCUCUCUCCCUCUCUUUCCCUCUCUUCCUUUUUCCCUCCCUCCCUCUUCCUGGCUGUCAUAAACUCAGCAGCUUUGUUCAACUAUGCCUUUCUGCCAUGAUGCUCUGUCCCACCCACCUCAGGUGUAAAGCAGUGGAGUCAACUGACCAUGGACUGAGACCUCUGAAACUGUGAGCACAAAAUAAGCUUUUCCUACUCUAGGUUGUUCUUAUCAGGUAUUUUGGACAGUGAUGAACAGUUAUGGUUAGAAUAUAUUUUUCUAUACCAAGAUUAUAAAAAUCACCAUUCCCUAUUUUAUCCAUGUAAUCCUGACUCCAUAUAGAAUUGUUUUGCAGCACUGGGGAUCAAGCCCAGGACCUCAUUCAUACUUUGCAAGUACCAUACACCCCCAGCCCCAUAUGAUACAAAAGGCCAUAUUUAUCAUGUAUCAUGUAUUAAAGUCCCACAUAUACACUAUUUUAAGAUGUAGCAAAUACCAUGUGGCAAACAAAAUGUCUUAGAAUUCUUCAAGCCUAAGAAAGUAUAACUACAGUAAGAAUGGUUUUCAGUAUCAACCCAGAUAUGCAGGGAUAGAAAAAAGAUGUCUGGGUGCUUAGCUGUUGAAUAGAGGCUGGGGGAGGGUCAAAUACAGUUGAUGAUAUAAUAAAGAGUGGUAGGAUUCUGUCUGGAACUCCAUAGGCCUAAAGGAAAGACUCUGGCAACCUUCUUAAGACUGCUGUACUCUUGAGUGCUGAGGUCCAAUUCUAUGGCUUCUCUGGAUACCUUGGUGUUCAGUUAACUUUCAGGUAAGUGGCUCCCCACCAGGCAUGAUUAAGGUAUAUCAGCAAGUAAAUGAAUGUAUCACUUAUGAAUGUCUUUAGUAAUAGAAAGCCCAAAAUAUAAUGGAUCAAAUAGGGGUUUAUUAUUAUUAUAGUAAAAAUGAGGGUGAGUCCAAAUGAUCAAGAGAAGAGACUAUGAAGUCAGACAAGUAACUAGGAUCAUAAUCUGACCUACAAUUUAAUGAGAUCUGUUUGGCUUCUCAGAUGAUGGUGGGUACCAGUGGAAGUAGUGUUAAGUGGAAGGAUUCUGGAUAUAUUUUAUAGAUAAAUCUGACAGGAUUUUUUUCUGGUAAGUAAGGUGAGGAAGUGAAAGAGUCAAAGAUGAUGCACAAGCACUGGCUUGAACAGCUGAAAAGUUUCCCAUUGAUUAAGUUUUGGAAGGUUCAUAGGGGAGCAGUAUAGACAUCUGACCUGACACAGUGUAGUAAGGUUUGUUUUGCUUUGAUGUUAGAGUGGGAAUACAUUUUACUUUGGACUACUGAGCAUGUUCAGGAUUCAUCCACAUAAGUCAAUGAAUUAUCUGUGUGUGAAAGGUGGGAAGCUUUUUUUCAGUAAGAACUAACCCCUCCCCCCCCCAAAAAAAAAAAGAAGAAGAAGAACUAAACCCUUGCUUUCUAACUUUUCAGACAAAGCUGCUGUGUAAAGAACUAAGGACAAAGAAAUUUCCCUUUGGCAGAGUAAGAGUCCAUGGAGCCCCAGAAGCUGCUGAGCAUUGUAUUUCUGUUGUGUUCACUGACUUGCUCCUUGUUGGUGACAGUAGCUUCCCCUCCUUCGCCAUUAUAUGAUUUUGGAAUUCAAGAAAACGCAGGACUGAAACCACGCUCAAGGGGUGUGUUUGCUGUUAGGAUGAAUGUUCCUAUCUUCAUAAGACAUAGGAUUCAUGUUGCAGGUCAGGAAAAACUGAUUUCAUGUGAAAUAAUGUUCACAAGAAAGCUAACUAUACUGGUUUGGUUAAGUUUAGUUCAACAAGCAUUAACUUAACUAGUUUCUACCAAGCCCUUUGUAGGGUAGACAAAACCAUAGAUGCUAACCUUCCAUGGAAUUUAACAAAUGCUCCCAAAGAACAUGGGGAUAAUCAAAGUUGUUUGGGCAGGCGAAAAAUAGGGAAGAUUUGAAAAGGAGGUUAAACUUGAAAUAAGGAAACAUGAUGGUCCACUGAUCUUUCUAGAGGCUCCCAAAGCCAUGCUUUCAACAUGCAUGCUGCAGCUCCAGUUCUGGAAAGGGUUGUGGUGACUGGUGGACUUUUUCAAUUAAGUGUGAAGCCACUUUUGUUUUCCCCUGCCUCUUUCCUUAGAGUCAAAUCACAAUAUACUCACUCUUCUGUCCCCAUUUUCUAAAGGAAAUACCCAACAUCUCAAGCUUUACUUUGAUCAGCAGAUACCCCCAAAGUUUCUCUUUCCAGUUGCCCUAGCCUUUUCCUCCUCUGCUCCCAGGGCUGGUGGGUUUUUCUUUUCUCUUCAUGGGAUAUUAAUUCCCCCAAGCCUCCUGAAGUACUCUAGAACUUCCAGAUAUACUCUAGGAAACAAUGUGUUAGUGAAGAUUAUCAUUUUCUUGUGUUCAGUUUAUGCUCCUCUUUCACAAAGUACCCCAUAAAUUCAACCCUUCAGAUAUGUAGGACAGAGAUUGAUAUCUAGAGCAGAUAUCUAUUGGCAGAGAUAUCUAGGGCAGUUGAUUGUUCAUAUUUGAUCUAUAAGGAUGCAAACAUGAUAUCCACCUGAGGAUACCUCUUUAAAAUAAUGUAUACUCUUUGAACAUCUUAGAGGCAGCACAGCAAAAUAUGUAAGACAUUCUGAGUAACUGUAGGAACAUAUCUUGGAUAACUGUUUGGGCUCAAACUGAGAUUCAAAUCCCAACCCCAUCAUUUACUUGACCUUUCUGCAGUGAAUGUCUAUGCUCUUUCUACAGGAGACCAGAGGUCUUGGCUGAGCGACUUCUGGGAUUACCUGUGGGACCUCAUCAUGAGCUCCAUACCUCCAGCAGCCAUUUUUGCUUUUCUUAUCACCAUAUCACUAAUGGGGACCCUCUGUUGCCUAACGUAAGAUACUGUAGGAAUGAGAAGAGGGGAAAACUUUAGGGGUGGGGU
rnacentral:lncRNA from 1 species